GAUGAACGCUGGCGGUGUGCCUAAUACAUGCCAGUCGAGCGAACGCACGAGAAGAUCGCUCCCUUGCUGUUAGCGGCGGACGGGCGAGUAACACGUGGAUCACCUACCUCUAUGACUGGGAUAACUACGGGAAACCAUUGCUACUACCAGCUCAUACUUUGUACCGCAUGGUUCAAAAGUGAAAGACGCUCUUCCCGUCACUUAUAGCUGGAUCCGCGCUGCAUUAGCUAGUUGGUAAGGUAACGGCUUACCAAGGCAACGAUGCGUAGCCGACCUGAGAGGAUGAUCAGCCACACUGGAACUGAGACACGGUCCAGACUCCUACGGGAGGCAGCAGUAGGGAAUCUUGCGCAAUGGGCGAAAGCCUGACGCAGCCACACCGCGUGGGUGAAGAAGGUCUUCGGGUCGUAAAGCUCUGUUGUUGGGGAAGAACAGAUGUGGGUGAAUCCGUGCAUGUCCUGACGGUACCCAAUGAGAAAGCCACGGCUAACUACGUG
rnacentral:rRNA from 1 species